rnacentral:misc_RNA from 1 species
CUCUCUCAAAUCUUCGGAUUUGGUUUUGAGUGAUACUCUUAGUCGAACUAGGCGUUUGCUUGAAAAGUAUUGGCAAGAGUGGUACUUUAGGUGCUAAACUGUUUCAAUGUAUUAGGUUUAUCCAACUCGUUGAAUCUGGUUAGUUACUUUAGGGUGCUUAGGCUCGGCCUUACAACAACAAACAAA